rnacentral:rRNA from 1 species
CCAAAGUACAACCCUGAACGGUGGAUCACUCGGCUCGUGGGUCGAUGAAGAACGCAGCAAAUUGCGCGUCGACAUGUGAACUGCAGGACACAUGAACAUCGACAUUUCGAACGCACAUUGCGGUCCAUGGAUUCCGUUCCCGGACCACGCCUGGCUGAGGGUCGGUAGCUAAAA